CCUACGGGUGGCAGCAGUGGGGAAUAUUGCACAAUGGGCGAAACCCUGAUGCAGCAAAGCCGCGUGAGUGAAGAAGUAUUUCGGUAUGUAAAGCUCUAUCAGCAUGGGAGAAGAAAGACGGUACCAGACUAAGAAGCACCGGCUAACUACGUGCCAGCAGCCGCGGUAAUACGUAGGGGGCAAGCGUUAACCGGAUUUACUGGGGUUAAAGGGAGCGUAGACGGGUGUGCAAGACUGAUGUGAAAGCCCGUGGCUCAACCGGGGAACUGCAGUGGAAACUGGAUAGCUUGAGUACUGUAGAGGUAGGCGGAAUUCGUGGUGUAGCGGUGAAAUGCUUAGAUAUCAGGAGGAACACCGGUGGCGAAGGCGGCCUGCUGGACUGAAACUGACGUUGAGGCUCGAAAGCGUGGGGAGCAAACAGGAUUAGAUACCCGUGUAGUC
rnacentral:rRNA from 1 species